GUCUGUGGCCAUACCCCUCUGAAUGCUCACAAUCUGGUCUGACCUCAGAAGCUAAGCAAAGCCAGGCCUGGGUAGAACUUGGAGGAGAGAAUGCCUGGAAACACUGGGUUCUGUAAACU
rnacentral:rRNA from 1 species